CAAAAACUGCAGUGACUUCUGU
rnacentral:miRNA from 1 species